AACGAACGCUGGCGGCAUGCCUAAUACAUGCAAGUCGAACGAGAUCUUCGGAUCUAGUGGCGCACGGGUGCGUAACGCGUGGGAAUCUGCCCUUGGGUUCGGAAUAACUUCUGGAAACGGAAGCUAAUACCGGAUGAUGACGUAAGUCCAAAGAUUUAUCGCCCAAGGAUGAGCCCGCGUAGGAUUAGCUAGUUGGUGGGGUAAAGGCCCACCAAGGCGACGAUCCUUAGCUGGUCUGAGAGGAUGAUCAGCCACACUGGGACUGAGACACGGCCCAGACUCCUACGGGAGGCAGCAGUAGGGAAUAUUGGACAAUGGGGGAAACCCUGAUCCAGCAAUGCCGCGUGAGUGAUGAAGGCCUUAGGGUUGUAAAGCUCUUUUACCCAGGAUGAUAAUGACAGUACCGGGAGAAUAAGCUCCGGCUAACUCCGUG
rnacentral:rRNA from 1 species